GUAGGGUGCGAGCGUUGCCCGGAUUUAUUGGGCGUAAAGGGCGCGCAGGCGGCUACGCACGUCCGUUGUGAAAUCGCUCGGCUCAACUGGGCGGGGUCAGCGGAUACGGCGUAGCUGGAGCAAGCUAGGGGGCAAUGGAAUUCCCGGUGUAGUGGUGGAAUGCGUAGAUAUCGGGAGGAACACCAGUGGCGAAGGCGGUUGCCUGGAGCUUUGCUGACGCUGAGGCGCGAAAGCGUGGGGAGCGAUCCGGAUUAGAUACCCGGGUAGUCCACGCCGUAAACGAUGCGGACUAGGUGUCGGGGGUAUCGACCCCCUCGGCGCCGCAGCUAACGCAUUAAGUCCGCCGCCUGGGGACUACGGCCGCAUGGCUA
rnacentral:rRNA from 1 species